rnacentral:rRNA from 1 species
GCUCAACCAUAGAAUUGCCGUUGAAACUGGGGGGCUUGAGUAUGUUUGAGGCAGGCGGAAUGCGUGGUGUAGCGGUGAAAUGCAUAGAUAUCACGCAGAACCCCGAUUGCGAAGGCAGCCUGCCAAGCCAUUACUGACGCUGAUGCACGAAAGCGUGGGGAUCAAACAGGAUUAGAUACCCUGGUAGUCCACGCAGUAAACGAUGAUCACUAGCUGUUUGCGAUACACUGUAAGCGGCACAGCGAAAGCGUUAAGUGAUCCACCUGGGGAGUACGCCGGCAACGGUGAAACUCAAAGGAAUUGACGGGGGCCCGCACAAGCGGAGGAACAUGUGGUUUAAUUCGAUGAUACGCGAGGAACCUUACCCGGGUUUGAACGCAUUCGGACCGAGGUGGAAACACCUUUUCUAGCAAUAGCCGUUUGCGAGGUGCUGCAUGGUUGUCGUCAGCUCGUGCCGUGAGGUGUCGGCUUAAGUGCCAUAACGAGCGCAACCCUUGCCACUAGUUACUAACAGGUGAUGCUGAGGACUCUGGUGGGACUGCCAGCGUAAGCUGCGAGGAAGGCGGGGAUGACGUCAAAUCAGCACGGCCCUUACAUCCGGGGCGACACACGUGUUACAAUGGCGUGGACAAAGGGAGGCCACCUGGCGACAGGGAGCGAAUCCCCAAACCACGUCUCAGUUCGGAUCGGAGUCUGCAACCCGACUCCGUGAAGCUGGAUUCGCUAGUAAUCGCGCAUCAGCCAUGGCGCGGUGAAUACGUUCCCGGGCCUUGUACACACCGCCCGUCAAGCCAUGGGAGCCGGGGGUACCUGAAGUCCGUAACCGAAAGGAUCGGCCUAGGGUAA